GCUGGGUAUGGUGGUGCAUGCCUGUAAUCCCAGCUACUCAGGAGGCUGAGGCAGGAGAAUUGCUUGAACCCGGGAGGUGAAGAUUGCAGUGAGCUGAGAUUGUGCCACUGAACUCCAGCCUGGGUGACAGAGCAAGACUCUGUCUCAA
rnacentral:SRP_RNA from 1 species